AUUGAACGCUGGCGGCAUGCCUUACACAUGCAAGUCGAACGGCAGCACGGGGCAACCUGGUGGCGAGUGGCGAACGGGUGAGUAAUGCAUCGGAACGUACCUUUCAGUGGGGGAUAACGUAGCGAAAGUUACGCUAAUACCGCAUAUUCUGUGAGCAGGAAAGCAGGGGAUCGCAAGACCUUGCGCUGAUUGAGCGGCCGAUGUCAGAUUAGCUAGUUGGUUGGGUAAAGGCUCACCAAGGCGACGAUCUGUCGCGGGUCUGAGAGGAUGAUCCGCCAAACGGGAACUGAGACACGGUCCAGACUCCUACGGGAGGCAGCAGUGGGGAAUGUUGGACAAUGGGGGCAACCCUGAACCAGCCAUGCCGCGUGGGUGAAGAAGGCCUUCGGGUUGUAAGGCUCUUUCGGCCGGGAAGAAAUCGCACGGGCUAAUACCCUGUGUGGAUGACGGUACCGGAAUAAGAAGCACCGGCUAACUACGUGCCAGCAGCCGCGGUAACAC
rnacentral:rRNA from 1 species